rnacentral:pre_miRNA from 1 species
GUGCUACUCCCUCCGUUCCAAAUUACUCGUCGCAGAAAUGGAUGUAUCUAGAACUAAAAUACAUCUAGAUACAUCCAUAUCUGCGACAAGUAAUUCGGAACGGAGGGAGUAUUAG